rnacentral:rRNA from 1 species
CUCAGGAUGAACGCUGGCGGCGUGCCUAAUACAUGCAAGUCGAACGGUAACCCUUGGAUUCGUCUGAGGGGGAGAGUGGCGAACUGGUGAGUAACACGUAGGUGACCUGCCUCGAAGACGGGGAUAACCAUCGGAAACGGUGGCUAAUACCCGAUACAUUCGGCAAUUCAGUUUGUCGAGUAAAGCUCCGGCGCUUCGAGAUGGACCUGCGGCCUAUCAGCUAGUUGGUAGGGUAAUGGCCUACCAAGGCGAAGACGGGUAGGGGGCGUGAGAGCGUGGUCCCCCACACUGGCACUGAGAUACGGGCCAGACUCCUGCGGGAAGCAGCAGUCGGGGAUAUUGCACAAUCAGCGAAAGCUGGAUGCAGCGACGCCGCGUGGGCGAUAAAGGCCCUCGGGUUGUAAAAUCCUUUACAAGGGGACGAGGAAGGACGGUACCCUUGGAACAAGUGUCGGCUAACUACGUGCCAGCAGCCGCGGUAAGACGUAGGACACAAGCGUUAUCCGGAUUUACUGGGCGUAAAGCGUCUGCAGGCGGACAGGUAAGUUGGGCGUGAAAGCUCCGGGCUCAACCCGGAGAGGUCGUUCAAUACUGCGUGUCUAGAGGGUGUCAGAGGGGAGUGGAAUUUCCGGAGUAGCGGUAAAAUGCGCAGAUAUCGGAAAGAACACCAAUGGCGAAGGCAGCUCCCUGGGGCACACCUGACGCUAAGAGACGAAAGCUAGGGGAGCGAACAGGAUUAGAGACCCUGGUAGUCCUAGCCCUAAACGAUGGAUGCUGGAUGUGGGGCCAUAGCGCUCCGUGUCGAAGCGAACGCGUUAAGCAUCCCGCCUGGGGACUACGGCCGCAAGGUUAAAACUCAAACGAAUUGACGGGACCCCGCACAAGCAGCGGAGCGUGUGGUUUAAUUCGAUGCUACACGAAGAACCUUACCUGGGUUUGACAUCUAGGUGGUAGCGACGUGAAAGCGGAGCGACCCUUCGGGGAGCCUAGACAGGUGCUGCAUGGCUGUCGUCAGCUCGUGCCGUGAGGUGUCGGGUUAAGUCCCGUAACGAGCGCAACCCUUGCCCUCCGUUAUACGUGUCAGAGGGGACUGCCGGCGGUAAGCCGGAGGAAGGUGGGGAUGACGUCAAGUCAGCAUGGCCUUUAUAUCCAGGGCUACACACACGCUACAAUGGCCGGUACAAUGGGUUGCCAAGCCGUGAGGCGGAGCCAAUCCCGCAAAGCCGGUCUAAGUUCGGAUUGUGGGCUGCAACUCGCCUGCAUGAAGCUGGAGUUGCUAGUAACCGCGCGUCAGCCAUAGUGCGGUGAAUACGUUCACCGGGGUUUGUACACACCGCCCGUCACGUCAUGGGAGUCGAUAACGCCUGAAGCCGGUGGCCUAGCUCGCAAGAGAGGGCGCUGUCUAAGGCGGGGUCGGUGACUGGGACGAAGUCGU